rnacentral:lncRNA from 1 species
CUAGUGGUUUUAGACUCCUACACAGUACAGGUUUAAAUGUUGUAGUGGUUUUAGACUCCUACACAGUACAGGUUUAAAUGUUCUAGUGGUUUUAAACUCCUACACAGUACAGGUUUAAAUGUUGUAGUGGUUUUAGACUCCUACACAGUACAGGUUUAAAUGUUGUAGUGGUUUUAGACUCCUACACAGUACAGGUUUAAAUGUUCUAGUGGUUAUAGACUCCUACACAGUACAGGUUUACAUGUUCUAGUGGUUAUAGACUCCUACACAGUACAGGUUUAAAUGUUGUAGUGGUUUUAGACUCCUACACAGUACAGGUUUAAAUGUUCUAGUGGUUUUAGACUCCUACACAGUACAGGUUUAAAUGUUGUAGUGGUUUUAGACUCCUACACAGUACAGGUUUAAAUGUUGUAGUGGUUUUAGACUCCUACACAGUACA